UACGGGGGGGGUAAGCGUUGUUCGGAAUUACUGGGCGUAAAGGGCUCGUAGGCGGCCAACUAAGUCAUACGUGAAAUCCUGGAGCUCAACUCCAGAACUGCCUUUGAUACUGGGGAGCUCGAGUCCGGGAGAGGUGAGUGGAACUGCGAGUGUAGAGGUGAAAUUCGUAGAUAUUCGCAAGAACACCAGUGGCGAAGGCGGCUCACUGGCCCGGUACUGACGCUGAGGUGCGAAAGCGUGGGGAGCAAACAGG
rnacentral:rRNA from 1 species